UUAAUUCUCUACUGUACAUUACCUGCAUUAAUUCUCUAUUCUAAAAGAUUAGAAAUUAAUGUAAUUCUAUUUCAUACAAAAAUCGAUACAUUUUUUUGGAAAUCGCCUUAUCUACGAAAGUACAAAAUACCAACAAAGUAUUAUGAAUUGCCAAAUUUUAAUACAUUAAAGUUUAUGUGUAAGUGUAAUCGCUUAUUAUUAAAAUGAUUUUCAUUGGGUUCAUAGAGAAAUAAAAAACAUUUACAAUAGAAAUUCAUUUUGAUAUAAUAAUUUUUUAAUGUUUUUAUCAAUUUUAAUGUAAUUAGAAAACUCAUUAAUAAGCUCUGUUUUAAAAAUAAUAUUAUUCCUUGACUGAUGUGAAUAAGUAUUUUCUAAAACUCUUGUUGAAGAGAUGGUUACAAAUUAUAUAUAUUUCAUAGGAGACUAAUUUUUGAAUUUCAUAUGUAUAACAAUAAUCUUGUAAAUAAUUUCAGAACUAUAAUAUAUAUAUGUAUAUCACAUCAGUGAUAUUGUUAGAGAAUGAGACCAAUUUUUUAAAACUACUUUACAUUCGAAAUAAUCAUUCUCAUUAUAGAUAAAAAUAGAAAUAUUUUUUACAUAUUUCCAAGAAGAAUAUUUUUUAAAUACAAUUUUUCUACCAACGAAUAUGCUUUAUAAAAUAUUAUCUUUAUACAGUAUCUUAUAUUUAAUUAUAUAGCCAUAUCUUUAACAAUAAAUUAAUAUGUAUAAAUACGAUUUAUUAACGGAAAUACCGAUGAAUGAUGAAAAUUUACUAAAAAUACUAAUCUAUUAUUUUAAUAAUAAGCGAUUUGUUUACAGAAAUUUAAAUCUGAAAUUAUUAAAAUUCAAUGCAAACUAUUAAUUAUAGUUAGUUCCUGUUUACUAUCUUGUUCUAAGUAAAAUAAUUAUUAUGGUUUUCUAUGGUACAUAAAAAGAAAUUCAAACACUAUAUUUUUUCAGAUUUGAAAUCAGUUAUACAAUUAAUAUGUAUAACAGGUGAAUGAAAAAGAAAGGAAUGUUCUAAAAAAAGUACAUAACUUUGUUCAAUAUUUGUAGAUGCCAUAAUCUCAUGUACUAUGUAAAAACUAUAUCUUUUGUGUCUUAAAUGCUUCCAGUAGUUUGCAAUUUACAUAAAAUGCAAAAUGAAGGUUUCAAUUAAAAUCGAUAAAACAUACGAUUAAUUUAUCGUAAUAAUAUUUUAUAUUUCAUUUCCAAAAAUAUUGGGUAAAAAUUCGAUCAGAUAUUUUAAUUUUAUGCUUUAUAAUAGCAUUCUUAUGUUAGUGCAUGUUAUUAAUUUUUUAAACAUUCUAGAUAUUACUAAUAUUUUAAUUAUUUAUAAAUUACAUAAAAGGAAAUAUAUUUAAUAUUUACAUAAAAAUCUAUACACACGCACACGCGUAUGCACAUGCGUGCGUGCACACGCAUACAUACAAACAUACAUACAUACGUAAAAAUAUACACAUAUAUUUUUAGUAACGUUAUGUAAUUUAAGCUUAGAACACUCCUCGUUCAAACAUCUGGACCAAUUCAGAACGUUUAAAUUUUUGUAAAAAUUAUCAUGGUGUAUGCUAGAACGAAUGUAAUUGGUUCUAAAAUUAUAUUCCACAUUUGUUCCUUCUAGUAUACGUUGAGACAUAUAUAAAUAAUAUUUUUCUGCAUUCGUUGUAGCGUUGCAAUUAUAUUAACGAAAACUGUUCAUUGUAGUAUACUUAACUGUAUUUCAAAUUUUAAACGACCUUGUACAUACUGCCAAAAAUGAUAGCUUGAAUGAUGCAGUGAGAAAAGUUAAUUUUCUAUGUAUUUAUAUAUGAAAUAAAUGUAAUACAGAAUGCAAUUCAUAUUUUAUAAAACAAUAUAUAAUUUUGUUGAAGUUAUAAAUAUUGUCGAAACAGUAGUAUACUAGUUUUAAUGAAUAUUUACACCAAUUUUAAAUUUUAAAUAUAAUAGAAAUUGGAGAACUUGAAGAUGUUGUAGCAAAAUAUUUUUAACAGAGGAUGUUGAAUUGUUAAAUACAUUUGUUUACAUAUCACUGAGAUGUAUAGACAGGGAAUAAUACCUAACAAACAAAUAGCAAUGAAAUGAAAUGUAGUAUAUAAAUAACAUUACAAAUAGUAACUAUGUAUUUCAUGUAACGUAAAUUCUUAAAUGUAAUUGUUAUUUACAUAAAAUGCAGUGAACUACACUGU